rnacentral:rRNA from 1 species
UAGGGAAUCUUCGGCAAUGGACGAAAGUCUGACCGAGCAACGCCGCGUGAGUGAAGAAGGUUUUCGGAUCGUAAAACUCUGUUGUUAGAGAAGAACAAGGACGUUAGUAACUGAACGUCCCCUGACGGUAUCUAACCAGAAAGCCACGGCUAACUACGUGCCAGCAGCCGCGGUAAUACGUAGGUGGCAAGCGUUGUCCGGAUUUAUUGGGCGUAAAGCGAGCGCAGGCGGUUUCUUAAGUCUGAUGUGAAAGCCCCCGGCUCAACCGGGGAGGGUCAUUGGAAACUGGGAGACUUGAGUGCAGAAGAGGAGGGUGGAAUUCCAUGUGUAGCGGUGAAAUGCGUAGAUAUAUGGAGGAACACCAGUGGCGAAGGCGACUCUCUGGUCUGUAACUGACGCUGAGGCUCGAAAGCGUGGGGAGCAAACAGG